GUGGCGCAAAUUGCACAAGUUUUUAUUUGCUGAGCUUUAAGAGUCCGUUCAUUCAAAUUUAAAUCCAUUUUAGUAACAAUGACGACUCCAGUGCAACAAUCCCAUAUAAUCCGAUCAACGGAGCGAUGGUUAAAUUGGGUAGCGUCAGCCUCCCGGUCUCAUUUCUUGAUCAUUCCAGACUUAAGUAAACUCUGGAUACUCAAAGCAUGAACGAAAUCAAAUGGUCACUAACAAUACUUUUGAAAGGAAUUCCCUAGAGGAUUAUCAAAACUAUCAGAUAAGUAGUUAAUGAUAGUACUCCACAUUGAAAACGAUGAAAACGGCCGUCGACCAACUGAAGCUUCUCAAUUAUAUACAAAUAAGAUGCCCUCAACAGAGGAGGAAUAGAAGCAGAUUGCUUCUGAUAUUAGCGAAAAAUACCAGUUCAGGAAUUGCCUAGUAACUUUAGACGGCAAACAUGUUGCUAUUGAAAUCCAGACAAGAUGUAUGACAAGACUGAUGAAGUAUCCCCAAAGAGCCUGCAAUGCACAGGGAAGAACAAUAAAUCUAUAGUUAAACUGGAAA